rnacentral:rRNA from 1 species
AUUGAACGCUGGCGGCAGGCCUAACACAUGCAAGUCGAGCGGAGCGGCGGACGGGUGAGUAAUGCCUAGGAAUCUGCCUGGUCGUGGGGGAUAACGUCCGGAAACGGGCGCUAAUAUCGCAUACUAUCAGAUGAGCCUAGGUCGGAGUAGCUAGUUGGUUGGGUAAAGGCCUACCAAGGCGGCGAUCCGUAACUGGUCUGAGAGGAUGAUCAGUCAACCGGGAACUGAGACAGUGUCCAGACUCCUACGGGAGGCAGCAGUGGGGAAUAUUGGACAAUGGGCGAAAGCCUGAUCCAGCCAUGCCGCGUGUGUGACGAAGGUCUUCGGAUUGUAAAGCACUUUAAGUUGUGAGGCGUUACCAACAGAAUAAGCACCGGCUAACUUCGUGCCAGCAGCCGCGGUAAUUC